CCCUUAGAUGUUCUGGGCCGCACGCGCGCUACACUGUUCGACGCAGCGAGUCUUAACCUUGACCGAAAGGUUUGGGUAAUCUUCAGCAAAGUCGAACGUGAUGGGGAUCGAUCAUUGCAAUUAUUGAUCGUGAACGAGGAAUUCCUAGUAAGUGCAAGUCAUCAGCUUGCGCUGAUUACGUCCCUGCCCUUUGUACACACCGCCCGUCGCUACUACCGAUUGAAUGGUUUAGUGAGAUCUCUGGAUUGACGCUGGCUAGGGGGCGACCCUUGGCCAGGCUGUCGAGAAACUGCUCAAACUUGAUCAUUUAGAGGAAGUAAAAGUUGUAACA
rnacentral:rRNA from 1 species